rnacentral:rRNA from 1 species
AAUGAACGUUGGCGGCGUGGAUUAGGCAUGCAAGUCGAGCGAGAUAGGUUUGGUGCUUGCAUUGAACCUUGAAAGCGGCGAAAGGGAGAGUAACGCGUAGGACACCUACCCUCAGGCCUGGGAUAGCGGCGGGAAACUGCCGGUAAUACCGGAUGAUGUCUCCGGACCAAAGGUGUGACUCCGCCUGGGGAUGGUCCUGCGUCCUAUUAGUUAGUUGGUGAGGUAACGGCUCACCAAGGCUAUGAUGGGUAGCGGGCGUGAGAGCGUGGCCCGUCUCACUGGGACUGAGACACUGCCCAGACACCUACGGGUGACUGCAGUCGAGAAUCUUCCGCAAUGGGCGCAAGCCUGACGGAGCGACGCCGCGUGCGGGAUGAAGGCCUUCGGGUUGUAAACCGCUGUCAGUGGGGUGGAAAAUCGGCAGGGGCACUCCCCUACCGUUGACCUAACCGCAGAGGAAGUCCGGGCUAAGUACGUGCCAGCCGCCGCAGUAAAAC